UUUAAGAACUACAUGAAUCUCUGAGGACUAU
rnacentral:piRNA from 1 species